rnacentral:rRNA from 1 species
UUAUACAUGCAAGUCGAGGGGUAACGAUGGAGCUUGCUCCAGGCGACGACCGGCGCACGGGUGAGUAACGCGUACACAACCUACCUUCAAGAGGGGCAUAGCCUCGGGAAACUGAGAUUAAUACCCCAUAGCAUUAUCAAUUUUAUGAAUAGAUAAUUAAAGAUCCGUCGCUUGAAGAUGGGUGUGCGUAGGAUUAGAUAGUUGGUGAGGUAACGGCUCACCAAGUCGACGAUCCUUAGGGGGCGUGAGAGCGUGGCCCCCCACACGGGUACUGAGACACGGACCCGACUCCUACGGGAGGCAGCAGUAAGGAAUAUUGGACAAUGGGGGCAACCCUGAUCCAGCCAUCCCGCGUGCAGGAUGACGGCCCUAUGGGUUGUAAACUGCUUUUAGAAGGGACGAAACUUUGGGAUUUAUCCCGAACUGACGGUACCUUCAGAAUAAGCACCGGCUAACUCCGUGCCAGCAGCCGCGGUAAUACGGAGGGUGCAAGCGUUAUCCGGAAUCACUGGGUUUAAAGGGUGCGUAGGCGGCAUUGUAAGUCAGAUGUGAAAGCCCACCGCUUAACGGUGGAACUGCAUUUGAUACUGCAAAGCUUGAAUCAGGCUGAGGUCAGCGGAAUGUGUCAUGUAGCGGUGAAAUGCAUAGAUAUGACAUAGAACACCAAUUGCGAAGGCAGCUGGCUAGACCUGUAUUGACGCUGAGGCACGAAAGCGUGUGGAGCGAACAGGAUUAGAUACCCUGGUAGUCCACGCCCUAAACGAUGCUAACUCGAUGUUCGAAUC